UACGUAGGGUGCAAGCGUUGUCCGGAAUUAUUGGGCGUAAAGAGCUCGUAGGCGGUUUGUUAAGUCUGCUGUGAAAUCCCCGGGCUCAACCUGGGAAUGGCAGUGGAUACUGGCAAGCUGGAGUGCGGUAGGGGAGACUGGAAUUCCUGGUGUAGCGGUGAAAUGCGCAGAUAUCAGGAGGAACACCGGUGGCGAAGGCGGGUCUCUGGGCCGAUACUGACGCUGAGGAGCGAAAGCGUGGGGAGCGAACAGG
rnacentral:rRNA from 1 species